rnacentral:sRNA from 1 species
GCCGGGCAUGGUGGUGCAUGCCUGUAGUCCCAGCUACUCGGGAGGCUGAGGCAGGACGAUUGCUUGAGCCCAAGAGUUUGAGGCUGCUGUGAGCUAGGCUGAUGCCACGGCACUCACUCUAGCUUGGGCAAUAGAGUGAGACUCUGUCUCAAAAAAAAAAAAAAAAAAAAAAAGACAAGAUCUCACUCUGUCACCAAGGCUGGAGUGCAGUGGUGGGAUCAUACAUAGCUCACUGCAGCCUUGAAUUCCUGGCCUCAAGUGAUCCUCCUGCCUCG